AAGAACCUGAAACCGUGUACGUACAAGCAGUGGGAGCCUCUUUAUGGGGUGACUGCGUACCUUUUGUAUAAUGGGUCAGCGACUUAUAUUCUGUAGCAAGGUUAACCGAAUAGGGGAGCCGAAGGGAAACCGAGUCUUAACUGGGCGUUAAGUUGCAGGGUAUAGACCCGAAACCCGGUGAUCUAGCCAUGGGCAGGUUGAAGGUUGGGUAACACUAACUGGAGGACCGAACCGACUAAUGUUGAAAAAUUAGCGGAUGACUUGUGGCUGGGGGUGAAAGGCCAAUCAAACCGGGAGAUAGCUGGUUCUCCCCGAAAGCUAUUUAGGUAGCGCCUCGUGAAUUCAUCUCCGGGGGUAGAGCACUGUUUCGGCAAGGGGGUCAUCCCGACUUACCAACCCGAUGCAAACUGCGAAUACCGGAGAAUGUUAUCACGGGAGACACACGGCGGGUGCUAACGUCCGUCGUGAAGAGGGAAACAACCCAGACCGCCAGCUAAGGUCCCAAAGUCAUGGUUAAGUGGGAAACGAUGUGGGAAGGCCCAGACAGCCAGGAUGUUGGCUUAGAAGCAGCCAUCAUUUAAAGAAAGCGUAAUAGCUCACUGGUCGAGUCGGCCUGCGCGGAAGAUGUAACGGGGCUAAACCAUGCACCGAAGCUGCGGCAGCGACGCUUAUGCGUUGUUGGGUAGGGGAGCGUUCUGUAAGCCUGCGAAGGUGUGCUGUGAGGCAUGCUGGAGGUAUCAGAAGUGCGAAUGCUGACAUAAGUAACGAUAAAGCGGGUGAAAAGCCCGCUCGCCGGAAGACCAAGGGUUCCUGUCCAACGUUAAUCGGGGCAGGGUGAGUCGACCCCUAAGGCGAGGCCGAAAGGCGUAGUCGAUGGGAAACAGGUUAAUAUUCCUGUACUUGGUGUUACUGCGAAGGGGGGACGGAGAAGGCUAUGUUGGCCGGGCGACGGUUGUCCCGGUUUAAGCGUGUAGGCUGGUUUUCCAGGCAAAUCCGGAAAAUCAAGGCUGAGGCGUGAUGACGAGGCACUACGGUGCUGAAGCAACAAAUGCCCUGCUUCCAGGAAAAGCCUCUAAGCAUCAGGUAACAUCAAAUCGUACCCCAAACCGACACAGGUGGUCAGGUAGAGAAUACCAAGGCGCUUGAGAGAACUCGGGUGAAGGAACUAGGCAAAAUGGUGCCGUAACU
rnacentral:rRNA from 1 species